CGGGAUACGUAGGGUGCGAGCGUUGUCCGGGAUUUAUUGGGCGUAAAGGGGCUCGUAGGUGGUUGAUCGCGUCGGAAGUGUAAUCUUGGGGGCUUAACCCUGAGCGUGCUUUCGAUACGGGUUGACUUGAGGAAGGUAGGGGAGAAUGGAAUUCCUGGUGGAGCGGUGGAAUGCGCAGAUAUCAGGAGGAACACCAGUGGCGAAGGCGGUUCUCUGGGCCUUUCCUGACGCUGAGGAGCGAAAGCGUGGGGAGCGAACAGGCUUAGAUACCCUGGUAGUCCACGCUGUAAACGGUGGGUACUAGGUGUGGGGUCCAUUCCACGGGUUCCGUGCCGUAGCUAACGCUUUAAGUACCCCGCCUGGGGAGUACGGCCGCGUCGACAAGGAAUUGACGGGGCCCCGCACAAGCGGCGGAGCAUGCGGAUUAAUUCGAUGCAACGCGUAGAACCUUACCUGGGUUUGACAUGGAUCGGGAGUGCUCAGAGAUGGGUGUGCCUCUUUUGGGGUCGGUUCACAGGUGGUGCAUGGCUGUCGUCAGCUCGUGUCGUGAGAUGUUGGGUUAAGU
rnacentral:rRNA from 1 species